rfam:Asian citrus Psyllid, Diaphorina citri - Florida Strain, whole genome shotgun sequence.
GCCUAGUUAGCUAAGUUGGUAGUGCGUCUGCCUCGUAAGCGCUAGGCCGCGGGUUCGAUUCCCGCCCGGGGCG